CAGAAAUCAGCUCUCCCCAGUUUCUGUCAUUUCAAAGACUCCUGGCACAGUACCAGGUAAUCCCAGGUCAUGUCGACUCUCCUUUCUAUCUAGCUCGUGCAGAGCUCGGAGGAAGUAGACGAAUCAACUGUAACUGCCAGAGGAGGAAGUGGAACAGGCCACGAAAAGAACUCUACCUUCUUGCCCCUCAUUCACUCCUCAGCCCACUGCAACUAGAGCAUGGGUCAUCUCUCCACACCCACUGUUCCAGCAAAGACCAAGGUGAACAAUGACCACACCACUGCCAAUCCAAACACCAUGCAAUGUUUCAGAUCGUGGUUGCUCUGUCCACUUGUGUCCUAAGAAUAACCCCUAAAUGACCAGCAAUGGAAGUUAAAAUGAACAUGAAAGGUGAAUGUUUUGAAUUGAAUCACGAUAUGAAGGCUGCUGGGACAGCACAACUAAAGACACUCCUGAGACUCCGUGAGAAAAGACUUCCAGAACUGCUUCAGAAAGUGCAAUUCAUUGUGUUACGAAAUUAUAAAGAAAGAAAAUUUUCCAGAGAAGAAAAUUCUCCCAGUGCAAGUGGUAUCUGCAAGGUGCUUGGCCUCCCA
rnacentral:lncRNA from 1 species